AUUGAACGCUGGCGGCAGGCCUAACACAUGCAAGUCGAACGGUAGCACAGAGAGCUUGCUCUCGGGUGACGAGUGGCGGACGGGUGAGUAAUGUCUGGGAAACUGCCUGAUGGAGGGGGAUAACUACUGGAAACGGUAGCUAAUACCGCAUAACGUCGCAAGACCAAAGAGGGGGACCUUCGGGCCUCUUGCCAUCAGAUGUGCCCAGAUGGGAUUAGCUAGUAGGUGGGGUAACGGCUCACCUAGGCGACGAUCCCUAGCUGGUCUGAGAGGAUGACCAGCCACACUGGAACUGAGACACGGUCCAGACUCCUACGGGAGGCAGCAGUGGGGAAUAUUGCACAAUGGGCGCAAGCCUGAUGCAGCCAUGCCGCGUGUAUGAAGAAGGCCUUCGGGUUGUAAAGUACUUUCAGCGGGGAGGAAGGUGUUGUGGUUAAUAACCACAGCAAUUGACGUUACCCGCAGAAGAAGCACCGGCUAACUCCGUGCCAGCAGCCGCGGUAAUACGGAGGGUGCAGGCGUUAAUCGGAAUUACUGGGCGUAAAGCGCACGCAGGCGGUCUGUCAAGUCGGAUGUGAAAUCCCCGGGCUCAACCUGGGAACUGCAUUCGAAACUGGCAGGCUAGAGUCUUGUAGAGGGGGGUAGAAUUCCAGGUGUAGCGGUGAAAUGCGUAGAGAUCUGGAGGAAUACCGGUGGCGAAGGCGGCCCCCUGGACAAAGACUGACGCUCAGGUGCGAAAGCGUGGGGAGCAAACAGGAUUAGAUACCCUGGUAGUCCACGCCGUAAACGAUGUCGACUUGGAGGUUGUGCCCUUGAGGCGUGGCUUCCGGAGCUAACGCGUUAAGUCGACCGCCUGGGGAGUACGGCCGCAAGGUUAAAACUCAAAUGAAUUGACGGGGGCCCGCACAAGCGGUGGAGCAUGUGGUUUAAUUCGAUGCAACGCGAAGAACCUUACCUACUCUUGACAUCCAGAGAACUUUCCAGAGAUGGAUUGGUGCCUUCGGGAACUCUGAGACAGGUGCUGCAUGGCUGUCGUCAGCUCGUGUUGUGAAAUGUUGGGUUAAGUCCCGCAACGAGCGCAACCCUUAUCCUUUGUUGCCAGCGGUCCGGCCGGGAACUCAAAGGAGACUGCCAGUGAUAAACUGGAGGAAGGUGGGGAUGACGUCAAGUCAUCAUGGCCCUUACGAGUAGGGCUACACACGUGCUACAAUGGCGCAUACAAAGAGAAGCGAACUCGCGAGAGCAAGCGGACCUCAUAAAGUGCGUCGUAGUCCGGAUUGGAGUCUGCAACUCGACUCCAUGAAGUCGGAAUCGCUAGUAAUCGUAGAUCAGAAUGCUACGGUGAAUACGUUCCCGGGCCU
rnacentral:rRNA from 1 species